CUCGUCGUGUCACACUCAUAACAGAGAUGCACAAUAAUUAAGAAAUACUACGUAGUUACUGUAUAAAAAUAUUAAUAAAAAAUAUCAAUUUUAUUUUCACAUAUUAGGAGAGUCUAUAGUGAAAAAUAAUAAUUCAAACGAAAAAAGAAAAACCAUGGAUCCCAAAAUUCUCAUUGUGUUCGUUCUUUUUCUGAAUCUCAUAUCAAAAUCGUUCCAAAACCCUAACCCUGAUCCUAAAAUCCCCAAAUCGACUCCAUCACCGGCACACCUUGAGCUCGCCAGUUAUGGUUUCCCCGUUGGUCUUCUUCCCGACACCACCGUCUUAUCCCACGUCAUUAACCAAACAUCCGGCGAUUUCUCCGUCAAGCUCGGUGGCGCGUGUAAAAUCACGCUUCCUCCCGAUAACUAUGUUGCUACCUAUUCCGACACUAUCACCGGGAAAAUUGUGAAAGGUAAGAUCGCCGAGCUUGACGGAAUUAGGGUUCGUGCUUUCUUUAAGUGGUGGUCUAUCACCGGAAUUCGCUCUUCCGGUGACGAUAUUGUUUUUGAGGUUGGUGUGGUCACCGCGAAGUAUGCUUCGAAGAAUUUUGAUGAUAGCCCUGCUUGCGAGGGUCAGCACUCUUCUUCAUGAUGAAAAGUUAACUGGUUCUGCGGACUGCAUAUUGCAUUUCCUAAGUUUGAAGCCUUUUUUGUUAAGCUCGAGUGCUUGACCUUCCACGUAACAACAGGUUGAUUCACUUUAACUUAGUACAGCAACAAAAAAAAAAGCAACAACCAAGUUUUAUCCCACUAAGUGGGACCGGGAUAUUAGGUGCUUAUUCUCAGCCUAUGUAAAAUUCAGCUCCACUAAGUGAAGAUAAUUUAGUAGCAGCUAGUAUUGUGUGAAAUAUUACUAGGCUAGUAGUGCUUUUAUGUAAUGGAAUCUAUGCUACGACGAAUUGUGUUGGUCACGUUACUCAUUGGACUCUAAUAAGAGCACUCUGAACGUAUUUUAUUUGGUAUUCUAUGUUGUCAUUUGUAUAUGAUGCAAUAGUAGUGUGACUUGACUUUCCUAAGUUAAAAUGUCAUGCAAAUUAAAUAUUCCUCACUUUUUAUGAGAGAAGGUGGAAAUAAAUAAUAAAAGUGAGGGAUGUAAUGGGUA